CGUGCAGGUGGUUCGGUAAGUUGGGCGUGAAAUCUCCCGGCUCAACUGGGAGAGGUCGUUCAAUACUACCGAACUUGAGAGCAGAAGAGGAAGAUGGAAUUCCCGGUGUAGUGGUGAAAUGCGUAGAUAUCGGGAGGAACACCAGUGGCGAAGGCGAUCUUCUGGUCUGUUUCUGAUACUCGGACGCGACAGCUAGGGUAGUAAACG
rnacentral:rRNA from 1 species